rfam:Brassica oleracea var. oleracea cultivar TO1000 chromosome C1, whole genome shotgun sequence
AAACCAUGAUGAGGGCAUUGAGACCAAUAGCCCUUGAACCUCUCCCAUGCUUCACUGAAACUCUCUAGAUCUUUCUGUUGAAACCCAGAGAUUUUGUUCCUGAUCUU